CCCCACCACCUCCUUUUUAGCUCCUCCUACUAGUACUUAUCUCUCUCGCCUUCUCAUAACCCAAAUCUCGCCUCUCCUCCUCCGCCGCCGCCCAAACCGCCCGAGAGAUGGUGGGUCUGAGCAUAGUGCUUGAAUCAGACAAGGUGACAACAAAAACUAGUUCAAGUAGUUGUACUAGGAAGACCAACACAAGUGCACAAGUUAUCAACAAAGUUAUGACCAUCAACAGAAAAUCAGCACCACCUUUGUCACCUUCUUCGAGAUCAUCUUCGUUUGGUAAGGCCAGCUUUCUUGAUCAGUGUUUCUUGUGUGGAACCAGGCUCUUGCCUUCCAGAGACAUCUACAUGUACCAAGGGGACAGGGGUUUUUGUAGUGAGGAGUGCAGGUGCAGGCAAAUAUACAUGGAUGAGCAGAUUGAGAUGAAGAAAAAGACUACAAGCACUACUAAAACUGCAAGUCCUAAGAAAAAGUGUUCAUUGGCCGCCAUGAGAUCUUCAGCUACUUCAUCCCCAUCUUCAAGAAAAGCCACAUGAAUAAUUCUGUACUAGAAAAAAGCCCAGUGGGCUUUUCAUCUGAGUUUUGAAUCUUUAUCCCUCUAAACUAAUAGCCAGCUUUUUGUGUGUAUUUUAUUUGCACUUUUUUACCAUUCCAAGAAUCAAAUAGAGUAUAUCUGCAGUGAGGCAGUGACAGUGGUACUAUUUUGUGGCCAAGGAGUAGCAGAGUUGCAGCCCAUGGGUUUGGUUUUCCCGGCCGGUAUUAUGAUAAUGAUCAGAGGACAGCAGGAGGGGUGAUUUUGUUUAUUUGUUUAUUUGUUGUUUAAUCUUUAGAAAUGUACUAGUUGUAGCAUUUACUAAGUGCUGGUGAAGGGUGCAGAGUUGAAGAUCUAGAGAAAAACUGGCACGCAAGGUGUCUUUUGUUUGUCAGUUUCAAGUAAUUAUGGAUGAUCUAAUCUUUUUUGUGGCAAUCAAUUUGAUUUAUGUGUUCAUUAA